rnacentral:rRNA from 1 species
ACCAUUGAACUGAAUGACUCCUUUGAUGAGACCAGCAUGCGUUUUGUGCGGCGCAUCCAGGAGUCUGAGGUGAAGGAGGCUUUAAAAAGGAUGAAAGGAGGCAAGGCGAUGGGCCCUGAUUGUAUCCCCAUUGAGGUGUGGAAAGGUCUCGGGGACAUAGCGAUAGUAUGGCUAACCAAGCUUUUCAACCUCAUUUUUUGGGCAAACAAGAUGCCAGAAGAAUGGAGACGGAGUAUAUUAGUACCAAUCUUCAAGAACAAGGGGGAUGUUCAGAGUUGUACUAAUUACCGUGGAAUUAAGCUGAUGAGCCAUACAAUGAAGCUAUGGGAGAGAGCCAUUGAGCACCGCUUAAGAAGAAUGACAAGCGUGACCAAAAAUCAGUUUGGUUUCAUGCCUGGGAGGUCGACCAUGGAAGCCAUUUUCUUGGUACGACAACUUAUGGAGAGAUAUAGGGAGCAUAAGAAGGAGUUGCAUAUGGUGUUCAUUGACUUGGAGAAGGCCUAUGAUAAGAUACCGCGGAAUGUCAUGUGGUGGGCCUUGGAGAAACACAAAGUC